rnacentral:rRNA from 1 species
CCUACGGGAGGCAGCAGUGGGGAAUCUUGCGCAAUGGGCGAAAGCCUGACGCAGCAACGCCGCGUGCGGGAAGAAGGCUUUCGGGCUGUAAACCGCUUUCAGCAGGAACGAAAAUGACGGUACCUGCAGAAGAAGGAGCGGCCAACUAUGUGCCAGCAGCCGCGGUGAUACAUAGGCUUCAAGCGUUGUCCGGAUUUAUUGGGCGUAAAGAGUUCGUAGGCGGUCAAGUAAGUCGGGUGUGAAAAUUCUGGGCUCAACCCAGAGACGCCACCCGAUACUGCUUAACUUGAGUUCGAUAGGGGAGUGGGGAAUUCCUAGUGUAGCGGUGAAAUGCGCAGAUAUUAGGAGGAACACCGGUGGCGAAGGCGCCACUCUGGAUCGAUACUGACGCUGAGGAACGAAAGCAUGGGUAGCAAACAGGAUUAGAUACCCUGGUAGUCCAUGCCGUAAACGGUGGGCACUAGGUGUGGGUUUCCAUUAACGAAAUCCGCGCCGUCGCUAACGCAUUAAGUGCCCCGCCGUCGGGAGGUACGGUCGCGAACGAACUAAAACUUAAAUAGAAGUAGACGGCGUGAGACGUGACCGAACGGACGACGACGAGGGAGUAGG